rnacentral:rRNA from 1 species
CAGCCGCCACGGGAAUACGUAGGUGGCAAGCGUUGUCCGGAAUUAUUGGGCGUAAAGGGCUCGUAGGCGGUUUCUUAAGUCUGAUGUGAAAGCCCCCGGCUCAACCGGGGAGGGUCAUUGGAAACUGGGAAACUCGAGUGCAGAAGAGGAGAGUGGAAUUCCACGUGUAGCGGUGAAAUGCGUAGAGAUGUGGAGGAACACCAGUGGCGAAGGCGACUCUCUGGUCUGUAACUGACGCUGAGGAGCGAAAGCGUGGGGAGCGAACAGGAUUAGAUACCCCGGUAGUCCCUGUCUCUUAUAC